AUGAAUAUGUUCCAUAUUGGUGGUGCCUCUUACCCAGCACUCUCUCUCCCAGUCCUCCUAGCGCUUCGUAGGCUUUCUGAAAUGAUCCUUUCUCUCGUCAUCCAGGUCAACUUCCUUUUUCAGGUCAUCCUUAUCCAUCUUCUCCUUCGCUUUCUUCACCUGCUUUUCACUCUUCUUCUUUCCAUCGUCCUCGGAGGUCGCCGCCAGUUUAUAAUCAUCUUUCCCCUUCUGUAUGUCAAAACACACGUUAAUGAUGGAGCCUCUGUAAACUAUCAAUGUGCCUCUUUGCUAAUCGGUCUAGAAUUCCAUUUAGAAAUGUAUAAAACCCCUUAAGAAGCAGCCAACAAACAUGAAUAUAGGAAAUCUUUUUUGCAAGGAACUGUAAAAUACAUAUUUUAGUUAAGAUGAAAGAACACAAAAUAAGUCUAUUAAAUCCAAAGUGCAAUGCAGACUUACUACAAGCCCCAUCCUUGCACGCUGUCUCAAUCCCAGUGGUUUUGUGAAGAUCAUUUAUUUCCUCUUAUCCUGAGAAAACUCCACCUGUUGCACGUCUACACCUGCCUCUCUCCCUCUUCCUCCACGUGUCGAGGAAACCAAGGCUCCCUGGGUAGCUAACUGAGGAUUGAAUAUUUAUAUGGUUUACCUGGCCAAGGGGAGGUGCACAGGAGGAAUGAAUCCGAUGUGGAGAAGGGACGCGGAUGGAGGGUUGGGAGAGGAGUUGGAUUGUGCCAAUCUUCACCUGUACAGCUAGGUCAUUUUGACCAUGAGCCCCCAUAAAGAAAGCAUCCCUGUCGGAAGUUGAUGGUACUCACAAUAAACAAAUGGGUUCAAAAUACACAACCAGUGACCCAACCAUUUGCCACUUAGUACCUACAAUACCCUGUGUAUGUAGUAGUGGAAGUUGAAAGUACUCACAAUAAACAAAUGGGUUAAAAUAACCCAACCAGUAAUUCAACUAUGGGUCACUUCCGCACCUACCACAUGUAGAUAUUUGAGUAGCAAUCUGAAAAAUCUUCAAAAUGUUCUUAAUGUGAUGUUUUGGUGCCUCUGGGGCAAUUCAGACGCUG
rnacentral:lncRNA from 1 species